CUAAGACAUGCAAGUCGAACGAAGUGGCCCAUUGAAGAUUGCGUGCUUGCACAAAAUUGGAUUUGGAUUCCCACUUAGUGGCAGACGGGUGAGUAACACGUGGGUAAUCUACCCUAGGGACUGGGAUAACGUUUGGAAACGGACGCUAAUACCGGAUGAUACAUAACUAGAUAACUAGAUAUGUUAAAAGGAGCUUCGGCUUCACCUUAGGAUGAGCUUGCGGUGUAUUAGCUAGUUGGUGAGGUAAUGGCUUACCAAGGCGACGAUGCAUAGCCGAGCUGAGAGGCUGAUCGGCCACAUUGGAACUGAGAUACGGUCCAAACUCCUACGGGAGGCAGCAGUUAGGAAUAUUCGUCAAUGGGGGAAACCCUGAACGAGCAAUGCCGCGUGAGUGAUGACGGUCUUAAUGAUUGUAAAACUCUGUUGUAAAGGAAGAACAGCUAUCAUAGGUAAUGAUGAUAGUGUGACGGUACUUUACCAGAAAGCCCCGGCUAACUACGUG
rnacentral:rRNA from 1 species